rnacentral:rRNA from 1 species
AGAACGAACGCUGGCGGCACGCCUAACACAUGCAAGUCGAGCGCCCAGCAAUGGGAGCGGCGGACGGGUGAGUAACACGUGGGAAUAUGCCUUUCGGUACGGAACAACUCAGGGAAACUUGAGCUAAUGCCGUAUACGCCCUUACGGGGAAAGAUUUAUCGCCGAAAGAUUAGCCCGCGUCUGAUUAGCUAGUUGGUGAGGUAAUGGCUCACCAAGGCUUCGAUCAGUAGCUGGUUUGAGAGAACGACCAGCCACACUGGGACUGAGACACGGCCCAGACUCCUACGGGAGGCAGCAGUGGGGAAUCUUGGACAAUGGGGGAAACCCUGAUCCAGCGAUGCCGCGUGAGUGAUGAAGGCCUUCGGGUUGUAAAACUCUUUCGACGGGACGAUAAUGACGGUACCCGUAGAAGAAGCUCCGGCUAACUUCGCGCCAGCAGCCGC